GUAAAGCCAAAAGCAGUUAACAGUCAGACUGCAUCUCAGCCCUGUCAAGAUGGAUCUCCAUAAUAGGUGGUGAAUAGUUUUAUUUGGGGAAUAUAUUAACUUUUACUAUUGGGGAAAAGUUUUAGAUUAGUUUGCCAGUUUGUAACCCAUCAAACUGAGGCCAGUAGAUAUACAUUCACAACCCUGUACCCAUCAAAUAAUCAACUUCAUGUGUGACUUUGGGAUGGAUUCAUACGACCACAUUUCCUUUCUCAAGAAAAGUUGGAAGGUAUGUAAUUUGAAUGGCUAUUGCUCCCUGCUCCCUGCUGUCAGGGUGCUGCCCCGGUUCCCAGCUAGUUGUCCAGGAAAGUAUAAAGACAAGGACAAGUUUCAUACAGUCCUUUUUUAUUUCAGACUUUACAGAGAGAUGUUAUAGAACCAAGCCUCUUGGAUAACGGCAUUAACCCAAGUGAAUCUCCAUCACCCGGCUCUCCCACUUACUCAUUCAUCAACCUCAUCACCUCCUCUAUGGAUGCUACUAAGUACCCUCUGUCUUCAAGCUCUUUGCUCUCCUACUUUCAAGACUUGCCAGGUUCUGGGAGGUGGUGGGUCUGGGAUGCUUUCUAGUGACAACAUGUCAGCCAGCUGCUCUGGCUCUCCCAUGAUUUCUCAGAUUUCCCCAUCAUCUGCCUCUGAGCUGUGACCUCCCUCAACCCGCUGUUGUAAAUCUAUACUGUCUUCCUCUUCUUCCUCCCUGGAAGGGUCAGGAUGGGGAGGCGGUCUCCCCCACUCCUCCUCCUUUGCCCAGCCCCUGACAUCCUGGCAUCCAAAUGUCAACAAAGAGUACCAAUCUCCCCUCAGAAACCCUUGUGCCAAGUUUGGCGGCAAUGUAUAGAGCGGCAUCCAAGCAUACAUAUGGACAGAAAAACUUCUUUCCAAAAUAUAAAGUAGAUUAUAUAAGGGGCGGGGAGCUGGAUCUGUCUAAUGGGCUGGAUCUUUAUUUCCCCCACCCCCACUGCCAAACUUUGACAGGGAUUCUCAUUUGUCACUAACCUGAUACCACAAUGCCAACAGGUGGUCCAUAUUCCUUUAUCUAUGCAGUCUGAAAUCCAAAUAAUGUGAGCAAAGACUUUGCAAGCACUGGUAAUCACAACCAGUGAGGAAACCUGAUGGAACAGAGGUACCCCAUUGUUUCACUAGAUCUUACAACCAUCAACCCCAUUUAUGAUGGUGGAAGCACCCAGAAAAAUCCUAAUGCGAUCAUGGCAGAAUCUAUGGCCGGGGGAAGGGUGUUCCUGCAAGUACACCUCCGUGUGGUUAUCCUAGGGAUUUGAAGAUCAAUGGGAGCAUUUUGAAAUGGGCCCAGAAACAAAGAGGCCAUCAACCCAGACAUUUGGGGGUCUAGUAAUAAACACUCGGCUGUUGAAGUCACAAUCAAAGCCUUCUCACUUCACUUAGCUGUUUUAUUUUGUAGCAGCAGUUUGCAAUACUUGGCUGAGGAGACAAUUAUAAUGGCUGAGGUCAAGUUUGACCUUUUGCCCAUGCUGCAGCAAUUUCUUCACAUCGUUCAUACCGAUCUUGUACAAUCUUCCAACACUUUCCUGUGAAUCUAUCUGCCUCUUGGGGUUAUCUAUAUAUUGAAUGCUCUGGCA
rnacentral:lncRNA from 1 species